CCAGCAUUGGCGGCGUGCUAAUACAUGCAAGUCGAGCGCAGGAAGCAAGCUGAUCCCCUUCGGGGGUGACGCUUGUGGAAUGAGCGGCGGACGGGUGAGUAACACGUGGGCAACCUGCCUGUAAGACUGGGAUAACCCCGGGAAACCGGGGCUAAUACCGGAUAAUACUUUCUUUUGCAUAAAGGAAAGUUGAAAGGCGGCUUCGGCUGUCACUUACAGAUGGGCCCGCGGCGCAUUAGCUAGUUGGUGAGGUAACGGCUCACCAAGGCGACGAUGCGUAGCCGACCUGAGAGGGUGAUCGGCCACACUGGGACUGAGACACGGCCCAGACUCCUACGGGAGGCAGCAGUAGGGAAUCUUCCGCAAUGGACGAAAGUCUGACGGAGCAACGCCGCGUGAGUGAUGAAGGUUUUCGGAUCGUAAAACUCUGUUGUUAGGGAAGAACAAGUUGGGUAGUAACUGACCUAACCUUGACGGUACCUAACCAGAAAGCCACGGCUAACUACGUGCCAGCAGCCGCGGUAAUACGUAGGUGGCAAGCGUUGUCCGGAAUUAUUGGGCGUAAAGCGCUCGCAGGCGGUCCUUUAAGUCUGAUGUGAAAUCUCGCGGCUCAACCGCGAACGGUCAUUGGAAACUGGAGGACUUGAGUACAGAAGAGGAGAGUGGAAUUCCACGUGUAGCGGUGAAAUGCGUAGAGAUGUGGAGGAACACCAGUGGCGAAGGCGACUCUCUGGUCUGUAACUGACGCUGAGGAGCGAAAGCGUGGGGAGCGAACAGGAUUAGAUACCCUGGUAGUCCACGCCGUAAACGAUGAGUGCUAGGUGUUAGGGGGUUUCCGCCCCUUAGUGCUGAAGUUAACGCAUUAAGCACUCCGCCUGGGGAGUACGGCCGCAAGGCUGAAACUCAAAAGAAUUGACGGGGGCCCGCACAAGCGGUGGAGCAUGUGGUUUAAUUCGAAGCAACGCGAAGAACCUUACCAGUCUUGACAUCCUCUGCUAUCCUAGAGAUAGGAAGUUCCCUUCCGGGACAGAGUGACAGGUGGUUGCAUGGUUGUCGUCAGCUCGUGUCGUGAGAAUGUUGGAUAAGUUCCCGCAAACGAGCGCAACCCUUUGAUCUAGUGCCAGCAUUAAGUUGGGCACUCUAAAGUGACUGCUGUGACAAACGAAGGAAGUGGGAUGACGUCAAAUCAUCAUGCCAUAUGACCUGCUACACGUGCCUCACAUGGAUGGUACAUGGCAAGCCAUAUCCCGCUAGAGGUCCACGCAAU
rnacentral:rRNA from 1 species